rnacentral:rRNA from 1 species
UACAGAGGUCUCAAGCGUUGUUCGGAUUCAUUGGGCGUAAAGCGCGUGUAGGCGGCUGUUCAAGUUGGGCGUGAAAGCCUUGGGCUUAACCCAAGAAAUGCGCUCAAUACUGGAUAGCUAGAGGACCGGAGAGGAUAGUGGAAUUCCCAGUGUAGUGGUGAAAUACGUAGAGAUUGGGAAGAACACCAGUGGCGAAGGCGGCUAUCUGGACGGUUUCUGACGCUAAGACGCGAAAGCGUGGGGAGCAAACAGG